UGUUCCUGUUCUUUCAGUUAAUUGAUUUGUAUGAGGAUUUUGCAUUGAGAAAUAUCCAAACCAGGCAAAUUUCUAGAAUUCAUGUUGGAUCAAGGCUCAGACAAAUCUACAAGGAAAGCCAGAUUAUUAUCACGAAAAGAUGAAAGUCAAACACAGGGAGCAAGUUAAAGUAUACCCACUGAUGCUGCCAACAAGCCAUUCACCUCUGCUGGACCCUGUCCCUGACACUGGACUUGGCACUUCUCUCUAGUUCCAGGCUUAUGUUGGAAACCUUAGCCAGCGUGCAAGUGACAUUCUUUUCUCUGAACUCACAGUCUUAGACCACUUCAGCUCAAAAGUCACCUCCAUUAGAUGGCUGCUGUAAGAAACUUAAAAGGACUAUCAAUCCAGGAAGAUCAACUGCAUCAAAAAACAAGUCACUCAAACAGAAAUCUGGACUGAGUAACCAUCACAAUAUCACUUUUACAAAGGCCAUGGGAGAAGCAAAAGUAUCCCCUAUUGAAACUUACGAGAAUAUAGCUGAUCAAUAUUUUAUUAAGUCUGCCAGGACAAACAUAUAAAUAAUGUUUUCAAGAACUGGAUUAUAGUAAUGAAUUUUCUUGGCCAUGUUCAUUUUUUAAAAUGCAUCAACAUAAUAAGAAAAGGGACUCGGGGACUACCCUGGGGGGUCCAGGGGCUGAGUCUCCAGGA